UUAAAAUUACAUGAAUAUAAUUCAUUUUUAGUAAAGCUUCACCAGAUAAUACUAAAUAGAAUGGCUUUCUUUUUUAACUGUACAUAUGUACUGUUGUUAUCUGCUACUUUAUGAAUCUAAGAACACUCAGAGAGAAGAAUAGUUAUAAAAAUAAUUUUGCUUACAGACCUUGCAAAAUGUUUUCAGAUAUAAAAAUUAUCACAAAACUAAAAACAGUAUGUUACUAGAAGCAGAAUUAGCAAUAUGCAAGUAUUUUUACACAUGAAUAUGGAAAUUUUAAGCAUUUUAAAAUUCUUAACUUGAAAUCUAUUAUGUAUAGUAUAACUUUUAAUAUUUUAUGACACACAUGUAUUUUAAUAUUUUAUUUUAUGAUGCACAUGUAUUAUAUUGAUUUAAUGUUAAUUUCUAUACUAUCUCUUAAUCCUUUUCAUACUAUCUUUUAAUCCCAUUAUCCUUUGUAUUCUCCCUCCCUCUCUUUCUCUCUCUCUCUCUCCCCUUGGACACAUAUAUUUUUUUUUCUUUUC
rnacentral:lncRNA from 1 species